rnacentral:rRNA from 1 species
AUUGAGCGCUGGCGGCAGGCUUAACACAUGCAAGUCGAGCGGGGUGAUGGUGCUUGCACUAUCACUUAGCGGCGGACGGGUGAGUAAUGCUUAGGAAUCUGCCUAUUAGUGGGGGACAACACCUCGAAAGGGAUGCUAAUACCGCAUACGUCCUACGGGAGAAAGCAGGGGAUCUUCGGACCUUGCGCUAAUAGAUGAGCCUAAGUCGGAUUAGCUAGUUGGUGGGGUAAAGGCCUACCAAGGCGACGAUCUGUAGCGGGUCUGAGAGGAUGAUCCGCCACACUGGGACUGAGACACGGCCCAGACUCCUACGGGAGGCAGCAGUGGGGAAUAUUGGACAAUGGGGGAACCCUGAUCCAGCCAUGCCGCGUGUGUGAAGAAGGCCUUAUGGUUGUAAAGCACUUUAAGCGAGGAGGAGGCUACUUUAGUUAAUACCUAGAGAUAGUGGACGUUACUCGCAGAAUAAGCAUCGGCUAACUCUGUGCCAGCAGCCGCGGUAA